UGCACACAGUGCAGCAUGCUAUCGGCUCCCUGCAGCUGUUUAUCAGGGUCUCUUUCAUUCUCGGUGGAGACAUCACGUUCUUUUGGCUACUAGUUAUGGUUUUAUAUGUAAGACAAAAUAAACACUUCCUGUAGGGCUUCAGAAGCCAACUUCAUUUAUGUCUUAUCUUUCAUUUUCCUUCAACCCAAAGAGGAAGAAACAAGAUUAGAGGAGACUUCCAUUUAUCCGGUUGUCCUGCAGUCAGAAAAAAGAAAACCAACAGAGAGACACCAAAAAGAAGAAGAGGAGAAGGAGGAGAAAGAGGAGGAGGAGGAGGAAGAAGAGGAGGAGGAGGAGGAAAGGAAGAAAGAAAGGAAGGAAGGAAGAAAGAAAGAAAGAAAGAAAGAAAGAAAGAAAGAAAGAAAAGAAAUAACAGGCCAUAAACAAGUAUUUGGAAAUCACAAGAUGUAGUUUCACAGAGGCUGGAUGUGUGGAGUUUCAUGCAUUUCUGUGAUGAUGGAAACACAAUGCUCUUCGCAUGGGUAUGCAAGGGACAGACCAUGGUCAUUUGAGAAUCUGGAUCAGGUUUUCUAAUUUUUUCAAGAAUU
rnacentral:lncRNA from 1 species